CCGGCGUUUACAAAAAUGUCAGUAGCAAAAAGUCCGAAGGCAAAUACCCCUACAAGGAGAUUUGAAACGAUUAGCAAUGGUGAGGUGCACCGUCAGUUGGUUUUGUCCCUGAGAGGAAAACAUAGCAGUGAGAGUCCAUCAGAACCUACCAAAAAUGAUCUCGCCAAAUUGUCUCCCAAACCUUUAUCUUUGCAGGGAGUGGUGCCUGCUUCCCAAAUCAUUAUUCCAUUCAAAUUGAUGCAGAUAUUCUGCGGUUAGCAUUUUAUCAUUUUGUAUAAACCAGAAGCAGCAUGUUCUAAUGGGAAGGACUAGAUUUGGGGAAUCAUACAGAUUUGGGCUCCAUCCAGCCCCAACGUUGCUGACAUUCACAGAAGUUAUUUGCCUUCUCUGAACCUUGGUACCCUCAGUCACAAAAUGGUCGGGGGGAGUGAUACCUCUUGGGGGGCAAGUAGGACAGGUACAAAAUACUCCCUUUGGCGUCAAUAGCUACUCAACAUCAGUUAGUUCCUUUUUUUUUUUUUUCUGUAGAAAAUAUAUUCUGCCUGCUCAUGUUUGGAAAUGCAAAUACUCUGAGGAGGGGAUAUUUAUGACAUCAUGGCGGCUGAAGUGAAUGAGGUUGUUAGGGAGUUAUCCUUAAAGAUAAAAAAGGUCAUUCCAGAAACCUCGAUUGAAUUGGAUGUUUCAUUUGACAGUUGGGCAGAGAAAAUGAGAAGAAAGGGAGAGUGUUAAAGAAAAAUGUUGGUGACUGUAUCGGUUUCAUACAGCUGCUGUAAAAAGUUACCACAAACAGAGUAGCUUAAAACAACACAAGUGUAUCUUCUUAGAGUUCUAGAGGUAGGUUUCCCUGGGUGAAAUCAACAGGUUAGCAGGAUUGUGUUCCUUCUGGAAGCUUGAGGGUAGAAUUCAUUUCUUGCCUUUUCCAGAUUCUAGGCUGUUUUACAUUCCUUAUCUGUGACCCCCUUCUAGCAAUUAUGUCACUAUGACCUCUGCUUCCAUUGUCACAUUUUCUUUGACUCAGAGUUUCCUGCCUCCCCACCACCCCCCCCCCCCCGCUUUUUUUUAAAGUUAUUUAUCUUAAGAGAUUUUGAGUGAGAGAGAGAGAAAGAGAGAGAGCGAGAGCGCGCGCGCAGGGGAGGGACACACAGAGAGAGAGAUUUCCAAGCAGGCUCCGUGCUGCAGGCACAAAGCCCAGCGUGAGGCUCAAACCCACAAACUGUGAGAUCACGACCUGAGCUGAAACCAAAAACAGGACGCUUAACGGACUGAACCACCCAGGCACCCCUCCUGCCUGCCUCCCUCUUAUAAGGACUUUUGAUUACAUUGGGUCCACCUGUCCAACCCAGGAUAAUCUCCUUAACUCAAAAGCCUGAGUUUAAUCACACCUGUAAAUUCCCGUUUGUCAUAUAAGGUAACAAAUCCACAGUUUCCAGGGAUCAGGAUAUGGACAUUUUGGGAGAGGAGGGCAUUAUUCUUUCUGCUACACUGACUUUGCUGUUUGGCUGAGAAUCCUGUGGGUAGGUUGUAUUUCCUGGAUUUUAUCUGUCCUCUGGCAAAUUCCACGGGAUUAGUCCCAAUAAGAUUGAACAUGGUAGGGCAGAAUUCUUUAUAGGAAGCUUCACUGUGAACUCUUUCAAAGCCUACACAGUACAGCUAUAGAUUAUCAGUGCACUAUUGUCUGUUAAAAAUAUCAAAGGCGGCUGUGCAGAGCAGAGGUACAUACAAGUUACUUGAAAGGAUAAAGACUUCCCAAAUGCAGCUCAAUUAUGGGAGAAGUUGGCAAGUGUGAGAGUCAGCAUUAACCCUUGUAAACGUCAAGGAUCUGCUACAGUUUCAGUUAAGUUUCUACCCAGCUUUGACUCCCAUAUUCAAUGUCCUCCAUCUGCAAAUUGUGCUGACAUCAGCACUGAAAAGUUGAUCCAUUAUAGCAGAAGUGAAGACAAGUUUGGCUGAAACCUUCAUCCGGUUUUCAUUUUGAUCUGUAUUGAUUGCUAUAAUUUUCUUUUUUGUGGCUUUGCCAGGAUGCGCUUUAUCACAAUGAGAACUGGCUCUUUUAAUAGCUUCAGCCAGCUCACUCUCAGAGGGUCUGACCUCUGAGAGUAGGCAAUCAUUGAUCAUUCAUGGCAAUUUUCCCCCCAGGUUCAGGAAGUCUCAAUGGUAAGAGAUUUUUUUUUUUUUUUUUUUUUUUUUUUACACCUUUAAGCAAGAUUCUUAAAGACCAGGUCUCUGGCUUUUUCAAGGGGCAAUAAGUCUGUCUGGGCAUACUUUUCCAGGAAACCAGGGAAAUUUAUGAUUUGAAAAAGGACAAGUGCCAGCACUUUCCUCUGGCAUUUUAUUUGUCAGAAGUGCUUCCAAUUAGGGCGGGUUUGUUCUUUCUGAGACAGGAUUUCUAGGCUCCUAGGAUGGGUGUCUGAAAUGCCAGCUCUGUGGUCCAUGGUGAUUCUGUGAUGGGCAGCUCUCCUAUUUAUUGUCCUGUGAUAUUUUGCAGAAAGUUGCUUUCCCUCUUCUUUGCCUCCUUAGGCAUCAUCUCUGCUUCUCCUAAUGGCUUAACAAGCAUCUAUCUGCUUUCCAAACAUUUCAUUCCGGUGCAUUUGAUCUAGCUUCAGAAGGGCACAGUCACAGGCCACCUGAAUGUCACAGGCCAUGCCAACAAAGGGCGGCAGAACCUGAAGCAGCGAUUCACAGACAAUGUCCUAUCACACGGGGCUUUUGUAAGACACUCCAGCCAUUGCCCUUAACCCUGAGCUACUUGUCUGUAUUUUACAAGCCUCAGAAGCUAACAAUAGCUCCUUUUGUCCUCAGGGUCAGGUGGAAUACCAUUUAUGGUCUCUGUAUUGCAACGUAUGAUUUGAAGGGGAUGUUUUUAAAAUGUCUAUAGAACCUACCUUGGUGUCAAAAAAUUCUUUAAGUGAGGUCAUAUUUUUGAAAUUUUAACAGAUACAUUUUUCAUUCCUAUAACCCUCCCUAGUGGGUUCUAUUUAUCUUAUGAAUCUGCUCCCAGUAGUGUUCCUUGCUUCAGGGGAGCUGAUCGCAUUUAUGAAUGAAUUUAUAAGCUGACACAAUAGCCUAAAAGUAAAGUGCUUUUGAUUUGCCAGAGCUGUGUGCUUGAGACACUUGUUAUUGUUGUUGCUUUGUUUGGAAUUCCAAAAAGGCUUGGAUGGGAAGACUGAGAGCCACCCUUGGGGGUGGGGGGGGGGAAUGUGGCUGAGGAUGCCACACAAGGAGGCUGAAGGAGUGAAGAGGCACUCCCAUGCUCCCUGCCUCACGCUGGCUGACAAACCCAGGGUCAGGACAACAGAAAUCUCCAGAAUGAUUUCUGGAAAUCCAUUUGAAGUGUGUCCUAUCCCUCUCAGGGUGUAGCUCAGGAGCUGCAAGCCUUUUAGAGAAGCUUCACACCCAGCACGGUAUCAGAUGAGGGUACCUGCAUUAGCAACGGCAGAAGAUCAAACUGGUGGAGCCCAAGGGUCUCCUCACAAGACUCAUACGUUCUGGUGUGGUGUGGGGUAAGCAGUUGUAAAUUCCCACAUCCCUAAGGGAUGACAGGCAUUAGAAUGCCGACAGGACCAAGAGGCUAGGAGGGCCUGAAAUUAGGACAAAGAGAUUGAUUAUGAUGUCUGUGGUCCUUGUCAGGAUGCCAUAGAUCAGCUAAGGAAACCUAAGCAUGCCUCUUCUUUGUUGUUUGUUUUUUAAAGUUUAUUUAUUUAUUUUGAGAGAGACACAGACAGUGCGAGUAGGGGAGGGGCAGAGGGAGAGGAAGAGAGAGAAUUCCAAGCAUGCUGCACACUGUCAGCACAGAGCCCAAUGUGGGGCUCCAACUCAGAACCAUGAGAUUGUGACUUGAACUGAAACUAAGAGUUGGAUGCUUAACCAACUGAGCAACCCAAGUGCCCCGGCCUCUUCAUUGUGGUGUAAAUAUGACACCAUCAGGCAAGCCCAAGGAUAAAGAAAGAGGAAAAUGAAGGUAUUAAAAAGUCCUUACUUUUUUCCUCAGGAUUCUAUCUGGGUCCAUCUGAUCUCAGUCUGUCUAUGGACAAAUUAGGGUCUUUGAUCACUAGUAAUUUGGGACAUGGAGGUCAAAUUCUGGGACCUGGUCCCUACUAUGGAAUCAUUACAGUAUUCUACCCUUUCACUCAACCAUGAACGUAGAAAAACAGUGACAUAACCAGGAAAUGUGCAUGAGGAGAACCACCAAAGCCACAGAUAAUUGGCAUGCUGGAAAAACAGGACUCAUACCAGGAUACCAUUAGGCCUUCCAAACAAAGAACUGGGAAAAUACAUAACCGGACUCUGUGGUAUGAAGGAGGAUGCUAUUGCUUUUCACACAGGUGCCCUUCAUUAGGAAACCUAGCCCCAGAUAGUAGGUUGGGAACGGGGUGAGUAGGGGCUGGUGGGUGAGGGAAAGACUACAUUCCUUUUAGCCACAAAGAUCCUGUGACCUUUAGAGGUGGGGCUUCUAAAUUGAAGGCCAACUGUUCUAUAUUCAAUUAUAAAUGUGUAAUUUACAGUUUAAUAUGGCACCUAGCUGACAGCCUCUGGUGGAGCAUCUCUCAAUUGUCUACUAAAGUAUACAUGGGGCUUGUGAAAAAAGAUGGAAACUCAUAAUGUCAGCCCAAAGGGAGAAUCAGCAAGGGAUUUCCAUUGUCAAUAAGUGACAUGGAGCAAGUUUACUCUCUGUCUGUCUGUCUCUGUCUCUGUCUCUGUCUCUCUCUCUCUCUCUCACACACACACACACACACACACACACACAAUUUUACUUCAUGAAAAACUCAAGCUUCUCCUUAGAAAACAGAGAUCAGGGGAGAAAACCUAGGGUGAGAAUUCCUUUCUGUCCUACCAUCUGGCCGCUGACUCAGAUUCAGGCUUUAGAUUGCUCAGAAAUAGGGCUGCAGUCACUCCACUGGAUGAGGUCUGCUCUUUGAAUUUAUCUGAAACUCUCUCCUCUCCUUCUUCACUCUCCUGAAUGUAUUCAGAAACAUAGUCAUGGACAGCAACUCGGUGGGAAGUGCCAAGAGCACGGGCAGUAGUGUCUUCUAGGAGGAACACACACAGACGGGCUCUAGAGAGCAGGGCCUGCUGGGUCCUGUGGUUUUGUGUGCUUCUCAUCUUUACAGUAGUGGGGGUACAAGGAGAUGCCAGUUCACUGGAGCCGAGGAGCUCCAGUAGAAAGCCUGCUGACUGGGAACUGGACUGAAGCUGUGCACACCAAGCGGCUGGCAAGCUGUCGUUCCGGAGAGCAGGCCAAGAGCAAGCCACAAUUCUGUUGAUGAAUACUGUGUAUAGGGCUUGCCUCACUUAAAAGUGAAUAGGGCGAGAGGUGCCUGGCUGGCUCAGGCAGUUAAGUGUGUGACUCUUGAUCUUGGCUCUGUCAUGAUCUCACAGUUCGGGAGAUCGAGCCCCAUGCUGGGCUCUGUGCUGACAGCAUGGAGCUUGCUUGGGAUUCUCUCUCUGCCUCUCUCUCUCUCUCUCUCUCAAAAUAAAUAAAUAAACAACAAAAAUGAGCAAACAGGGAGGGGUGCCUGUGUGGCUCAGUAGGUUAAGUGUCCAACUUCAGCUCAGGUCAUGUUCUCAGCCCUGUGUUGGGCUCUCUGCUGUCAGCACAGGGUCCUCUUAGGAUCCUCUGUCUCCUUGUCUCUCUGCCCACUCUCCCCCCCCCGCCCCCCACCUCAUGCUUGCUUGCAUGUUCUCUCUCUCUCAGAAAUAAACAAAAAUUAAAGAAAAAGAGUGAAUAGGGAGAAAGAAACAAUCACAUGGGGUCUUAGAAAAAAUAUUUCUAUUCGAGACUUGUAGGAAUUUUACAUUAGUGACUAUUCAGUAAUGUCUACCUCUCUCAUUAGAAUUGUAGAAUAUACAAGCUCUCUCAGAGCACUGACCACCUCUACUUUAACACUGCACACUAAAUACCUAGUAUCAAAUGUGGCACAUAGUAAACAUUUCAUACAUAUUUGUGGAUCAAUUCAUGAACUGCUAAAGAAACCUCAGAGCAACAAUAGAAGAGGAUAAAAAAGCAUAGGAACUUGUCCAAAUUAUCUAACUCACAUUGUCGUCUCACAUCCUUGAUUCUACUGAACACAGAACACAGGGUUGACAAUAAACCAUUUGGCAUGUAAGCUGUAGGGACCAUGUCUCUUUUUUAUAAAUUUCACAAAAUCCUGCAUAGUCCCACUUAGCAAGUAAAGAGAAUAAUUGAAAACUGGGACUAUGUAAGUUCUCAUGAGUCGGGAAACUCAUAAGUCAUCAUUUGUAAAUUAAAGGAUUCUCCAUUUUUGGGGCACCUGGAAUGAAAAAAGAACCUUAAAUUGGAAUAUGGAGAUCCCUGCUAUAUACAUAGGAGAGACUUCCUGCCGGGGAGGCCUGUGAACCCCGAAAUCAUGACCAGCUUGGGUAUAGUUUUAGACUUAGACAUAUUUGAGAGAAAUGUCCCCAUUUCUGAUCCUGAGAAGUUGCAAUGGUUGUCAGUUUAAAUAUUAACACAGGGGCACAUGAAAUCAUGACUCCUACCUAUUCUCAUGCAGAGAAACUAAAAUAUAGAACUUCAAAAAAAAAAAAAAAGAAAAGAAUAUUGAAAAAGACAUAAAAACGAGUUAUCUGGGUUAGGUUGGUCACAGUACUCUCUGAAAAGGGGAGGGACUCCCAUUCCUCCGUCAACAUCCCUUCUCAGCCUCUCAUCUAACAUUUCUAAAAGAGGGCUGAUCCUGUGUCUAUGUUUAGCAAAACAAUGCAGUGAAAGGAUGGAAGAACUAUUGUGCUAUGUGACAUUGAGAAUGCUUGAACAUUUUCUCAUGUUCAAAAUGUAACCAGCUUUGUGAAUCUUUUGUGAUAGUUUUCCUACUAUGACACUUGAGCAACAAGCAAACCGCCCUCGAAUCACUUCCUAGCCUUUGGUUUAGCGGGGAAAUGGAUGAAAAGCUUAUCCCACAGGAACAAGUAGAGCCAGUGGCAUGGGUUCGUCAGUCCAUUUUCGACAGUGGAAGGGGAACACCUAAGGAAUUCUUAUGGGCCAUGUCCUCAGUGCACAUUCUGAUUCAAUCACCAACUCUUAAUUUUAGAUCGUAUCUUCCACCAAAUCUCCAUUGUAAAUAGAAUACAAGAUACAAAGAAAUGAACAGAGUUCCUUUUUGCUUUUACUUUUGCCACAUCGAGGUCCUUAGUGGAAAAUCUUAGUGGAGAAAGUCAGCUGUUGCUCUCAAUUCAGCUGUGAAGAUCAUUCUCUCAGGAAACAACCCUUUCUUUAGGAAAAGGAAAGAAAGAAGGUGAAAUGUCUUUUCGUUUUUGAGACAGAGAGAGAGAGAGACGGAGAGAGACAAAGAGAAUCUAAAGCAGGCUCCAUGCCCAGUGAGGAGCCUGACCCAGGGCUCGAUCUCACAACCUGAGCCAACAUCAACAGUAGGAUGUUUAACUGACUGAGCCACCCAGGUGCCCUGAAGCGUCUUCUGUUUAAUAUGCUUUAUUCAAACUGAAAGUUACCCAACGAAGAGACUUAUCUGUGUUACCAUGUUCAUCCCAUUUCCUUGUAAGGAUGUACUGCACAGGUGAGAUGUUUAAAUAAGAGUGCCAUGGAUACUAGGUAAUAACAAUAAAGACAGUAACAAGGGUAGCUAAUACUGUGUGCUUAGUGUGCAUUAGGUAUUGGUCUAAAUGCUUUAGAAUAUAGUUCACUCAGUUGCCACCACAACUCUAUGAGGUAGACACUGUUAGUAGCUCCACAUUUCACAAAGAGGUCAAUUAACUUGACCAAAAAAGAGCUGGGAUUAGAAACUAAAUAGUAUGGCUCUAAAUCCACACUCUUUUUUUUUUUAAGUUGAUUUAUUUAUUU